rnacentral:rRNA from 1 species
GAUGAACGCUGGCGGCGUGCCUAAUACAUGCAAGUCGUACGGAAAGGCCCUUCGGGGUACUCGAGUGGCGGACGGCUGAGUAACGCGUGGGAACGUGCCCCAAAGUGAGGGAUAACGCACCGAAAGGUGUGCUAAUACCGCAUAUGGUCUUCGGAUUAAAGCUUCGGCGCUUUGGGAGCGGCCCGCGUACGAUUAGAUAGUUGGUGAGGUAAUGGCUCACCAAGUCGACGAUCGUUAGCUGGUCUGAGAGGAUGAUCAGCCGGACUGGGACUGAGACACGGCCCAGACUCCUACGGGAGGCAGCAGUAAGGAAUCUUCCACAAUGGGGGCAACCCUGAUGGAGCAACGCCGCGUGCAGGAUGAAGGUUUUCGGAUCGUAAACUGCUUUUAUAAGUGAAGAAUAUGACGGUAACUUAUGAAUAAGGAUCGGCUAACUACGUGCCAGCAGCCGCCGCCG